rnacentral:rRNA from 1 species
AGCGAACGCUGGCGGCAGGCUUAACACAUGCAAGUCGAACGGGCACUCCGGUGCUAGUGGCUGACGGGUGAGUAACACGUGGGAACGUACCUUUCGGUUCGGAAUAAUUCAGGGAAACUUGGACUAAUACCGGACACGCCCUUCGGGGGAAAGAUUCAUCGCCGAUAGAUCGGCCCGCGUCUGAUUAGCUAGUUGGUGCGGUAAUGGCUCACCACGGCGACGAUCAGUAGCUGGUCUGAGAGGAUGAUCAGCCACAUUGGGACUGAGACACGGCCGAAACUCCUACGGGAGGCGGGAGUGGGGAAUAUUGGACAGUGGGCGGAGGCCUGAUCCAGCCAUGCCGGGUGAGUGAUGAAGGCCUUAGGGUUGUAAAGCUCUUUUGUCCGGGAAGAUAAUGACUGUACCGGAAGAAUAAGCCCCGGCUAACUUCGUG